CUCUUUUCAGUCACGGUGCACUUUUUGUCCGUUGAGACACGUGAACGCACCUUUACAGAGAGAAGAACGAACCGACGCCUCGUUUGGGAGUUUUAUUUUAUUCUUAACUUUGUAAAUGAGUUCUGAUGAACUUCACUGACUGAGGAGUUUACUUGUUGAAGAGCUUCAGUUCACAUGAAUCCAGACGUCCAAGCAGUGAAGGAUCGACCCGAACCUGAGACAACGAGUGACACCAGACUGAGAUGGAUCGGCCUCUACUGUGCACUGGGACUACUGGGACUGACAGCAGCUCUACUGGGAUGUUUCUUUAUCUUCUAUCUGCAUUGCAAAGAAAGAUUAGUGAUCAGCACAACAAAUGAUUCAUCGUUGUUAAAUUCAUCUAAGUUUUUGUACAGAAAGUGUCCAACUUCUGACAUCAAAGUAUAAAUGUGUGAUAAUGUACUGUGUACAAGUCAAAUUAAAUGUUUUCGUUACAUCUCUUUCUUUUUUUAUCAGAAGAACAGAGACCGACCUUCGUGAUCUACCAUUUAAUAUUCUGCUUUUACGAGAAAUUAUUUUCCUUAAGUUACGUAAAGAAUUUAAAGAGUCUCUUGCAUCAUCUUUAAAACUUCCUUUAUUCCACCACAUGAGGGAUGACGUGUGCGUGUCCUCCAGUUUACGCUGUGAAUAAACAGUGAGGACACGUGAAGGACAGACGUUAUGAGGCAAGAUGGGACAUAUCUAGCAGCUUGGGGACCAAUGGGUGUCCAUCAGGGAGCAGAUGUUCAACUAGAUGACGAUACCCAUAGACAUAAUUUACAUAGACGCCGCAUUGGCUUCGGGUCACGAGAAAUACGGCCGCCAUCUUGUAGCGGUGGUGCUCGUAGUAGCGUAGCAGCAGAAGAUGCAGGAGGCCACAGCACUGUGCUGCUUAUUUCUGCGCUAAUCGCCAGCAGGGCUCAGGGGGAUAACCUUUCACAAGUAAGAUUUAACAUUACCGUCCUAUUUGUUGUGUUUUGUGAAAAGAAUAUUACCAGAGAGCAGAGAAGGAGCAAGUAUCUCACUGUAGUGAAAUGGCAGUCAGCUAGCUUGGCGAUGUUUACUUCCCCGGCUGUUUUUCACCUGAUUAUGAACUGAGACUCGAUAAGUCAUAUUCCAUAACACUUAGAUUCAAACGGACACAGUAAUGUUAUUGUAGAAAUAUAACCUAUUACUCGUAUAACAUUGGCCACACAACUUUCUUGUCAUGUGGAAUUAACGCAUGUUAAAGCAGCGUGCUAUGUAGCGAACUAGCUGCUGUGUUUGUGAUACUGAGCUCGCUGCAUUUCACUGUGUAGCAGCUUUUGUGUAGUGAAGCUUUAUUCAUGGCAGAGUAACUGAUCGCUUAGCUGAGUUCCAUGUGAAAGCAACUUGCCAACACAGUGUAUUAUUCACAUGUAAUUCAACAAAAGUAAGAUACCUCUCGUAUCUCAUAUCCCUCUUACUUACAAU
ensembl:lncRNA